rnacentral:tRNA from 1 species
GAGAGUAUAGCUUAGUGGUAGAGCGUUCGUCUGCAGAUCGAGAGGUCCCCGGUUCAAACUAGGGUGUCCUGUUCUUCA